rnacentral:rRNA from 1 species
UACGUAGGUGGCAAGCGUUGUCCGGAUUUAUUGGGUUUAAAGGGUGCGUAGGCGGACUUAUAAGUCAGUGGUGAAAUCUCGUUGCUUAACAACGAACGUGCCAUUGAUACUGUAGGUCUUGAGUACAGAUGCCGUUGGCGGAAUGUGUCAUGUAGCGGUGAAAUGCAUAGAUAUGACACAGAACACCGAUUGCGAAGGCAGCUGACGAAACUGUAACUGACGCUGAGGCACGAAAGCGUGGGGAUCAAACAGG